AGUCUGUUUCUGCCUAUCACCAUGAGUGAUUCAGAACUCCAAGAGCAACUGAUAAACCUUGAUACAUGGAGUUAUCAAGAUCUCAAUUAUAAGCUCAAGUCUUGAUGACAACUUGCAGGAAGCACCACCAGUAAAGACACCUGAACCAAGGCUCAUAGGAUCCCCAAUCUUCCCAACUGUGAGAGGGCCUUGCUCCAGAGACUGCCUGUGAAAUGGAGUGAGGCAUACCAGGAUAUGUGUGGUUUAACUGUUGGGCUGGAGGUUGGAACAGUGCAGUGUUUCCUCUCUAGGAUUGCAGUGACCAGACAUGCUACUGUAACUCUCAUGGUCAUGUGCUGGAAUUAGCAGAUAUUCAACAAUUUGGCCAUCUCACUGACCUGUUGAUAUCAGAAGACCCCAACAGCUCUGCAAAGCAAGUUGCAAAACAGAAACCAAUUGGAAGACUUUGGUCUGUGAUGUAGAGGAGUGGGCAGCAGAAGCAAAGACAAGAAAAAAACAGAAGUGAUAUGGAUAUCUUCGCCUCAUGGCAUGACUCUGUUGAUCUAACAACAAAGAAAAGGGCGUUCAACAUCUUCCUGCUAGUCAGGAUUCUUCAGGAGAAGCAGAGGAUUCUUGUGGCAGAGAUGGCCAACCGCUAUAUAUACCUUUCAACUCAUCCUGGUUCCUUCAAAGAACUUUCCUACUUGUUUGCUACUGAAAAAUUCGACAUGUGGCCCAAAAGAAGAGGGGUUGAAAGGUCUGUGGAUCAUCAUUCUCAGAAAGCAACAAAAUAACUGCAAAAUAAACAACAAUACGAGGGUGCA
rnacentral:lncRNA from 1 species